AUAAAUCUUAACAAAUAUUUUAGACGUGGCAUACUCAGUUUUCAGCGAGCUCAUAUCUGACUAGUGCCUAGGGUUUAUCUUGAAAGAGAGACUGCAAUCUAUCUCGGCGGUGUUUCUUCAAGAUAGUCUCUUAUUCACCACCACCACCACCACCACGAUAACGACUAGCAAUUUUCAGAAAUUUAAUUAUGGUUUCGAUAAAGUCGACUAUGGUCGUGUUGGGUUUGAUAAAAUGCUAACAGGCGAUUGAGGUCGUUUGCAAGACUGGUCACACUUCUAAAAGUUAUGGAUGAUUUGACUUGUCGUACUUGUUAAUUAUUUUGUUUGGAUAUAUUCUCUGAUAUGAUAGAAAAUGAGGAAAUGGAGUACUGUUCCCGAGGGCAAACUAAUGGAGCAUUGGCUGUGCUGAAUACAACUUGAUCUAAUGAUGCACUGAACCUUGUUAGACGGUCUUUGCUAAAAUCAGUGUGUUGAUAUGACAGUGUCUUUCUUUUCGGUGAUGAAAUGCAAUGUAUUAAUUCCUGAGGGUGGCACUUACAAUAUCAUUAUUUGUGGAUGUCUUCGGAAUAAGAAGGAUGCUGAAGCAUGUAAACUGUUAGAUAAUAUAGUUGAUUGCGGCUUCUUAGAAGAUGCAUUUACAACCUCCCUUUUUAUUACGACAUUUACUUUUAUCGGAAGUACAUGACCCAAAUUUGGUUCAACAAACUUGAAGAUGCUCUUCUUGUGUUCGAUAAAAUCCUGUACUUGAAGAUGCUCUUGUGUUCGAUAAAAAUUUGGUUCAACAAACUUGAAGAUGCUCUUGUUGUGUUCGAUAAAAUUCUCAACUUGCAGAUGUUCUUGUUGUGUUCGAUAAAAAUUUGGUUCAACAAACUCGAAGAUGCUCUUCUUGUGUUCGAUAAAAAUUUGGUUCAACAAACUUGAAGAUACUCUUGUUGUGUUCGAUAAAAUGCUCAACUUGAAGUUGCUCAUUGUUUUGUUCGAUAAAAUGCUCAGAACUCGAAGAUGAUUUUUUGUGUUCAAUAACUUGAAGUUGCUCUUGUCGUGUUCGGUAAAAUGCUCAGAACCUCUCCCUAAUCCUAUUGACUUUACUCGGCUGUUGUGUGCAAUUGUUGAUAGGGAACGAGACACCGCAUCUGUUCCUCACUUAACAAAUUUAUGUGACCUAAGCAAAUCUGUCAAUAUUAUCACCUUUAAUAUAUCAGGAGGCUUCUUUUUCCACAAAAGUUUGCCGAAGGCAGACUUUUGUUCACAGAUUUUAUCAAAUUCAAAGACUUUAAACCUUAAAGUGCCAUCAUUAAUGGCCUUUGUAAGACAGGUCAUACUUCUAUGGCCCUUUCUAAGAGGCAUUUACCGAAUGUUCGGACGUACUCUCCGGUUGUUCAGGUCCUCUGCAACUUCAAUAGGAGGUUGAUAUGUUACUUGAAAAUAUGAUUGAGGUGAAAAUCUCUUGAAAUAUGUACACUUUUGACAUAUUGGUCGAUGCUUAUUCCAUGUUUAGGAAGUUGGACGGCGCAAAGUGGAUAAUUGAGAUGAUGAACAGACGGGGUCAAUAUCCUGAUAUAGUCACCUACGAUACUAUCAUGCAGGCAUAUUGUUUACAAGGCCAAAUGAACAGAGCAUUGUCUGUGCAGAAGACCAUCAGAAGUAGGAGGAUAAUGCCCGAUUGUAGCACAUAUGCUGCCAUUCUGUUGGAUGCAUAUGCAGGCAGCUGAAAUUGGACAGGCACAUACCUAUGGAUCUUUACAGAAACAUGCCUGUGAUGCUUCGAGGCCCACAUAUGUAACACAACAUUUUCUUACACAGGCUGUCAGAAGGGUAAAUCUAUGGAAGUACUGACGUUCUUCUAUAGGAUUAAAGAUCAAGACAUAAGGUAGCUUUUGCUGCAUACAGAACUUUGUUGGAUGGUCUUUGCAAGAACCAUUAUGUUGAUAAAGCACCAUCUUUAUUUCACGCAGUGAAAUGCAUUGUAUUAAUUCCCAUGGGUGACUAUUACAAUAGUGUUGUCUGUGAAUGACUUCGGAAUAAGAAGUAUGAUGAAGCAUGUAAAUGUUUAGACAAAAUGGUUUAUUGUGGCUUCUUAGCAUAUGCAUUUACAACCUCUUUACUGCAACACCUACCCUUAUCAGGCACAGGAUCUAAUGUAUCAGGAUCUAAGGUAACUUUGGAUAAGUUAAGUGGUUCAUGAUCUUUCUUAUGUACCUAAAGUAUGCAUUGUAAAAUAGUUCUUAUUGUCUA